rnacentral:rRNA from 1 species
AGCGAACGCUGGCGGCAGGCCUAACACAUGCAAGUCGAACGAAAUCUUCGGACUUAGUGGCGGACGGGUGAGUAACACGUGGGAACGUGCCUUUAGGUUCGGAAUAACUCAGGGAAACUUGUGCUAAUACCGAAUGUGCCCUUCGGGGGAAAGAUUUAUCGCCUUUAGAGCGGCCCGCGUCUGAUUAGCUAGUUGGUGAGGUAAAGGCUCACCAAGGCGACGAUCAGUAGCUGGUCUGAGAGGAUGAUCAGCCACAUUGGGACUGAGACACGGCCCAAACUCCUACGGGAGGCAGCAGUGGGGAAUCUUGCGCAAUGGGCGAAAGCCUGACGCAGCCAUGCUGCGUGAAUGAUGAAGGUCUUAGGAUUGUAAAAUUCUUUCACCGGGGACGAUAAUGACGGUACCCGGAGAAGAAGCCCCGGCUAACUUCGUGCCAGCCGCCGCAGUAA